rnacentral:rRNA from 1 species
GACGAACGCUGGCGGCGUGCUUAACACAUGCAAGUCGAACGGAAAGGCCCUGCUUUUGUGGGGUGCUCGAGUGGCGAACGGGUGAGUAACACGUGAGUAACCUGCCCUUUACUUUGGGAUAACUUCAGGAAACUGGGGCUAAUACCGGAUAGGAGCUCCUGCUGCAUGGUGGGGGUUGGUAAGUUUCGGCGGUUGGGGAUGGACUCGCGGCUUAUCAGCUUGUUGGUGGGGUAGUGGCUUACCAAGGCUUUGACGGGUAGCCGGCCUGUGAGGGUGACCGGCCACAUUGGGACUGAGAGACGGCCCAGACUCCUACGGGAGGCAGCAGUGGGGAAUAUUGCACAAUGGGAGGAAGCAUGAGGAAGCAACGCCGCGUGCGGGAUGACGGCAUUCGGGUUGUAAACCGAUUUCGCAUGUGAAGAAGAGUGAGUGACGGUAAUGGGUAAAGAAGCACCGGCUAACUACGUG